rnacentral:rRNA from 1 species
GAUGAACGCUGGCGGCGUGCCUAACACAUGCAAGUCGAGCGAACAGACGAGGAGCUUGCUCCCCUGACGUUAGCGGCGGACGGGUGAGUAACAUGUGGAUAACCUACCUAUAAGACUGGGAUAACUUCGGGAAACCGGAGCUAAUACCGGAUAAUAUAUUGAACCGCAUGGUUCAAUAGUGAAAGACGGUAUUUCUGUCACUUAUAGAUGGAUCCGCGCCGCAUUAGCUAGUUGGUAAGGUAACGGCUUACCAAGGCAACGAUGCGUAGCCGACCUGAGAGGGUGAUCGGCCACACUGGAACUGAGACACGGUCCAGACUCCUACGGGAGGCCGCAGUAGGGAAUCUUCCGCAAUGGGCGAAAGCUUGACGGAGCAACGCCGCGUGAGUGAUGAAGGUCUUCGGAUCGUAAAGCUCUGUUAUUAGGGAAGAACAAAUGUGUAAGUAACUAUGCUCGUCUUGACGGUACCUAAUCAGAAAGCCACGGCUAACUACGUG